GAAGGCCUUCGGGUUGUAAAGCACUUUCAAUUGGGAGGAAAGGUUCACGACUAAUACUUGUGAGCUGUGACGUUACCUUUAGAAGAAGCACCGGCUAACUCCGUGCCAGCAGCCGCGGUAAUACGGAGGGUGCGAGCGUUAAUCGGAAUUACUGGGCGUAAAGCGCGCGUAGGUGGUUUGUUAAGUCGGAUGUGAAAGCCCCGGGCUCAACCUGGGAACUGCAUCCGAUACUGGCAGACUAGAGUGCGGGAGAGGGAGGUAGAAUUCCACGUGUAGCGGUGAAAUGCGUAGAUAUGUGGAGGAAUACCAGUGGCGAAGGCUGUCUCCUGGCUCGACAUUGACGCUGAGGUGCGAAAGCGUGGGGAGCAAACGGGAUUAGAUACCCCGGUAGUCCACGCCGUAAACGAUGUCUACUAGCUGUAGGGGUACUUGAGACCUUUGUAGCGCAGCUAACGCAA
rnacentral:rRNA from 1 species